UACGGAGGGUGCAAACGUUGCUCGGAAUCAUUGGGCGUAAAGCGCACGUAGGCGGACCGCUAAGUCGGAUGUGAAAGCCCCCGGCUUAACCGAGGAAGUGCAUUCGAAACUGACAGUCUUGAGUAUGGAAGAGGGUCGCGGAAUUCCCGGUGUAGAGGUGAAAUUCGUAGAUAUCGGGAGGAACACCAGUGGCGAAGGCGGCGACCUGGGCCAAUACUGACGCUGAGGUGCGAAAGCGUGGGGAGCAAACAGG
rnacentral:rRNA from 1 species